CUUCUGCUAUUUUCCCUCUCUCUGAAUUCUCUCUUCUCUUGUUGUAUUCUCAGACUUCUGCAACACCAUGGAUGAGUCCCCUGUGGCUCCCCAAGCAGCAGCAGCACGAAGCCCCCCGCAGUCGACCACUUGGGAGCAGCACCACCUCGCCAUGAACGGGAGCCCGCAGCUCAUGAUCCGGUUGUCCCAACUCCGAAUCGAGUUCCUGGAGGCAGGAAUGGAUCCCCAACCUCCGGAUCUGGCGCCGCCAACCCCCCUUUUCGCCGCUGGUCCGCUCCAGAUCGCAGGAUCUCGGCCCUGUCGAUCUCUACUUUUCCCCCUGUGAGACCUGUAUCUGAAGAGUUCCGCAAGCGAGUCGGAUUGUGAGGACCCGUUCGACUAC